rnacentral:lncRNA from 1 species
UUUCAUUUCAUGCAUUCUUGCAGUUUCAUUGCUGAGGCAAAGAUUACUUUAUAUUUUGUGGUUUAAAAUCGAUGUUAAGUGGAAAAGCGUUUUUAUUUCACAGUUGACAAGCGAUUUUGAUGGAAGCUUGUUUUCGUAUGCCGACUUUACGGUCGUUACAAAGUAGAGAAAUACAAAGAAUUAUUAUGAACCUUACAUUGAGCCUCAAGAUGGAAUUGUAAAACCUUGCAACACCUUCUACCAUCUAAAUCACCUAAUAUGUCUAAAUCAUGUACAAACAAUCCUGAGGGCACACUUUUUACUGGUAGGUAAAGAUAGGUGAUAUAUUUAAGUACAGGUAAAGAUGCAGUUUAAAAUUGUGUUAAAAAUGUGAGUGUUUCCAAAUGUCUGUGCAUUUGAUUCUCAUUUUCUUUUUUUGUAACAUCUGCUGCAUUUCCCUAGCCAUCUACCAUCAAGAAUGCAUACAUAAAUAUGUAUUGUAAGGGAUAUUGUUAUUGAAUUCUCAAAAAGACAUACAAUUUUGGAUUCAGGAAUCAACAUCGUUGUCACCUGGUUAGAAGUAAAGAACAGAAAGUUUUUUUAAAGGUUAAGGAAAUAUUUGUUGAAUGUCACAGUUAAUAUCCAAAUCUUAGAAACUUCUCUGGAUGAAUCAUUAUUUGCACCAUAUAGCUUAAUGUUCUUUAGGAACGAAACAAUUAAGUACAUGCAAAACAAGUAAUUAUUUUCAUUUUUCAGGUAAAACGUUUGGUGGAAAAGUAAAAGACCACUACAGUUAUGCUUUGGUUGUGUUGGCAGGCAGAUCUAAGUUGAUGCACACAGUAGUAGUGUUCAAGCCAGAUGCUCUGCAGUGUAUUAAUGGUGGAAGAGCCUUCCUCAUCAGGGAUCGAAUAAAACCGUUACGGACUCAUAGAACUUCAAAUUAUACCUAUUCGUUCUUUGCAUGCGCACAGAUUUUUACAUAGAUGUAAAAUCAAUAAUACAUAAUUUUUUUAAGAUUUAAGAGUAAUUUAAAGGAAAUAAAUAAAGUUUUAGUUCUCAAAA